GGGGGGGGGGGGCGGGGGGGGGAGGAGGGGCAGGGCGGGCGGGGGGGGGGGGGUUGCGGCUGGAGGCGGCGGCGGACGGGGGGGUGAGGGCGAGGAAGCGGCCUGGGAGGGGGGGAUAACGGCCGGAAACGGGCGCUGAUACGGCAUACGUCCUGAGGGCGAAAGUGGGGGAGCUUCGGACCCCACGCUAUCAGAUGAGCGUAGGUCGGAUUAGCUAGUUGGUGGGGUAAAGGCCUACCAAGGCGACGAUCCGUAACUGGUCUGAGAGGAUGAUCAGUCACACUGGAACUGAGACACGGUCCAGACUCCUACGGGAGGCAGCAGUGGGGAAUAUUGGACAAUGGGCGAAAGCCUGAUCCAGCCAUGCCGCGUGUGUGAAGAAGGUCUUCGGAUUGUAAAGCACUUUAAGUUGGGAGGAAGGGCAGUAAGUUAAUACCUUGCUGUUUUGACGUUACCAACAGAAUAAGCACCGGCUAACUUCGUG
rnacentral:rRNA from 1 species